rnacentral:sRNA from 1 species
CCUCUACAAUGCUCUGCCUCUCUUCCGCCAACUCCUCCCGGGCCCGUAAACUCCCGGCCGCUGACGGAACAUUGACCACAUUGACUUUCGCACCACCCAUGCCCCUCACCUUGAACUUCUCUUUCGGUUUCGUCAGCUGUGCAGGAGGCGCUUGCACAACCUCAAGUGGGUUGGCAGGUUGCAUAGACUUCGCUUUGCGAUUAAGCUUCGCCCACGGAUCAUCCUCGUCAUCCUCGUCAUCAUCAUCGUUGUUGUUGUUGUUGUUGUUGUUGGCAACAUCGUCAACAUCGCUUCCACCACCACCGCCCAACACGUCAACUCUUCCACUCUUCUUUCUCUUCUUGAUCUUCUUCUUAUUCUUCUUGGCAGUGGUGCCCUUCUUUUUCUUCGUCAAUCCCGCUUCGGCCUCCCACGCCUUCCACUGCUCAUUGAUCUCUUCCUCCUCCGCCUCGUUUUCUUCGCGUUCAGCCUCUUCCCGCUCUCUAAUCCGCGCCUCUUCUUCCCUCCAUUCCCGUUGUAGCCGUAGAAGCCGCCGUUCAUGUUUGGUCUGUCUGUGUUCUCUCAGGUUCUUCAGCGCAGGAUCCUUGCUUACACUUGACGAGCCCGAUUUUCUCGAGAUGCCUGAGAACGGGAGGGCCCGGUUGACUCGCGCGGAGAAAUCGGAUAAGCGUUCGCCGGGGAGGAUUUUUGGGAUAGCAGUAGACGUCUGUGGCGGAGCAGGAGGCUGCGAUGAUGUUGCUAUAGAGUGUUGUCCGGGUUCCGAGUUGGGUUUUUUACUAUUACCGGUUCUCUUCGAUGCCAUUCCCCCUCCAUUGGCAAUAAUUGUGGCCCCCUCCCGUUCUCCUCGUUUCCGCCUUUUGUUGGGCUUUGUCCCGUCAUCUUCAAGACCGGAUUGUGACCGUGUAGUUGUUCCAGACGUAGAUUUUUGGAACUGGUGCAUCAUGCGGAGAAAAGCCUUGGGGGUAUCAUCUUCGAAGGCGUUUUGGGCCGGUUUUUUCAGCCUGCGCUUUCUGUUGGCGGAUUCCUUGAAGUCUGCAUUACUCUCUUUUGCCGGAAGGGGCUUUGCGACCUUCGUCGGAGGAAGGUCAAAGCUGGCGCUGUGGGUAACAAUCGGAAUUGAGGGUUAGAAAGGAAACUUGGACUGAAAUGGAGCGCAAUUCCCUGGCUGGCUGGCUGGGAUACUUACAAGUCAUCUUUAUGCCUCCGCUUGUGCUUGUGAGGCAUUCUCGCAGCGUGUCCCUUCUAUAAGCAAUAUGUGCUGGUUUCGUUGGACUAACCCGAGCAAUUAAGCUUCCUAUAUUGGGAAUUAAAAAAAUCUCUGGGCUGUAUUUCUGAUAAUUUUGGUAUCAACGUUACUAUCUCCUUCGUCUGGGGGAUUUUUUAGCGCGUACCUUAGUAUAUUAAAUACAUAAAAACUACUGGAUGAUAUGAG